ACAUGAAUCCUUCUUGGUUGUGGGUGGACUUCAAAUAUACUAUUGAGUUCAACUUUCUUGCUUUUUUUUUUUUUUUUUUUUUUUUUUUGAGAGAGGGUUUCACUCUGUCACCCAGACUGGAGUGCAAUGGCAUGAUCUCGGCUCAGCACAACAUCUGCCUCCUGGGUUCAAGCCAUUCUCCUGCCUCAGCCUCCUGAGUAGCUGGAACUACAGGUCUCCAAGAAUAGGAUACCUUCCUUCUAGCCACAUCAUCACUGAAGCUGAAGCACGUUCUUUUUCCUGUUCAGCAUUGAACACUUUGAAUAUAUUAUGACAACUAUGAUUUGUUUGUGCCAUCUUGUGUGUGUGUGUAUAUACAUAUAUAUGUAUAUAUAUAUAUAUAUGCUAAUAAAACCUUUCCAUUAACAAAACUCAUUGAAAACAAAUUCUAUGUCUACUUGUGAUUUAUCUUCCCUGAGACCUCAAAUAUCUAGAAAUAUUAUUUGCAUUUAUUCUUGUCAUAUUUCAAUAUUUUAUUGUCAAUGUUGAGUGUAGAAAGAGGUGGAAAAGGAGAGCGAUAAUUGUGAAGUUGAUCACUGGAUGAAUUAGUAGAUGCUAGAAGAAGACUGUGCAAAAGAAACUGAAAUAAAGAAGUAGUGACA
rnacentral:lncRNA from 1 species